AGCCCAAAGUUUUUUUUUGGGAAAAUUCUGCCCAGCGUAAUUUUUUAGCGGGCCGCAGUUCUUUGACUGUGCUAAGGUAGCAUAAUCAAUUGGCCUUUAAUUGUAGUCUGGAAUGAAAGGACUAAUAGGGGUUAGCUGUCUCUAUACUAUUAUUUUGAAUUUAUUUAUUAAGUGAAAAUACUUAUACAAAGAAAAAAGACGAGAAGACCCUUAGAAUUUUAAUAAAAUAUUUAAUAAUUUUUUUUUGUUGGGGCGACAUUGAAACAAUUAAACUUUCAUUAACAAUCAAGACAUUUAGGUUUGAAAGAAUAAAUUACCUUAGGGAUAACAGCAUAAUUAAUUAUUUAGUUUGUGACCUCGAUGUUGGACUAGGAACUAGAAGAUUAACCGUCUAAAUAGAUUGUUCUGUUCGAACAGAAAUUCC
rnacentral:rRNA from 1 species